CGAAGUCAAGCAUCAUUGGGCGCUGUCAGUACUUGGGUGGGUGACCACCUGGGAACACCGCGUGCUGUU
rnacentral:rRNA from 1 species